UCUAUACGGUGAAACUGCGAAUGGCUCAUUAAAUCAGUUAUCGUUUAUUUGAUAGUACCUUACUACUUGGAUAACCGUGGUAAUUCUAGAGCUAAUACAUGCUAAAAACCCCGACUUCGGGAGGGGUGUAUUUAUUAGAUAAAAAACCAAUGCCCCUCGGGGCUCCUUGGUGAUUCAUGAUAACUUAACGAAUCGCAUGGCCUUGCGCCGGCGAUGGUUCAUUCAAAUUUCUGCCCUAUCAACUUUCGAUGGUAGGAUAGUGGCCUACCAUGGUGUCAACGGGUAACGGGGAAUUAGGGUUCUAUUCCGGAGAGGGAGCCUGAGAAACGGCUACCACAUCCAAGGAAGGCAGCAGGCGCGCAAAUUACCCAAUCCCGACGCGGGGAGGUAGUGACAAUAAAUACUGAUACAGGGCUCUUUUGGGUCUUGUAAUUGGAAUGAGUACAAUUUAAAUCCCUUAACGAGGAACAAUUGGAGGGCAAGUCUGGUGCCAGCAGCCGCGGUAAUUCCAGCUCCAAUAGCGUAUAUUAAAGUUGUUGCAGUUAAAAAGCUCGUAGUUGAACCUUGGGCCUGGCUGGCCGGUCCGCCUCACCGCGUGCACUGGUCCGGCCGGGCCUUUCCUUCUGGGGAGCCGCAUGCCCUUCGCUGGGCGUGCCGGGGAACCAGGACUUUUACUUUGAAAAAAUUAGAGUGUUCAAAGCAGGCCUUUGCUCGAAUACAUUAGCAUGGAAUAAUGGAAUAGGACGUGUGGUUCUAUUUUGUUGGUUUCUAGGACCGCCG
rnacentral:rRNA from 1 species